CAAAGUGUAGGUUAAAUAAGAUUUAUUUGACAGUUGGGAGAUUAUAAUUUCCUAUCAGAUAGGAAACACCUAUGUUUUAGCAUCUGGACCUCACUGAGCUUGCGCGGGUGUUUCGUUCGUAACCAAUCAGAAACAACGAACGAAUCUUUAAUUACUCUUUUUUUUGACUCUGGUUUUAAAGAAUCGGUUGAGUGAAUGACUCACUAUAGGGUUCUAUCGAUGAUUCAUUCAUAAAACACAGAUACGUUCACUUGUCGCCGCCUGCUGGUGUAGCAGUUAAUCGCGGUCUUAAUUUCAACAGCAAAGAAUGGUUAAACAAGUUUAAAGACUCAGACGAGGCCCAGUUAGUUCCGCUGGACUCUGAGAAGAAUGUAAAAUGAAAAUGCACAACCGAAAGAAAGGAUAUGGUUUUAAGGAGGACCGUAUGUUCAAACAUUAACGUUUUUAGAGAAAACAGUGUGAAUGUUACCCACAGGUCAUGGUGUCAGUGGACGGGCAGAAUGGAGUUUUGUACAGCUCCAACAAUACUGAUGUGAAUGAGAGGGGUGAUGAGCUAUGGAUGCCUCUUACAAAACUGACUCCAGUAUGAGUCAUCAGUGUUGAUCAAGAAAAUCCACAACUAAACCCAUGGGUGGGAAUUAUCUUGGAAGAAAGUUUGGCAAUGGAUGAACUGACCCAUCUCAGGCCUUCUAUGUCCAUUUCUUUUUUUUUCAGACUGAUUUAUGCUCUGCACCUGGACUACCGUAAGUGUGUGAAAAGCACUUUAUAUUUUAUUCAUUAGAUAAUGCUCAACCUCGGACAAGGGGAGCUGGCACCCAAAAUUCUGUACUGCCAGUAUUGUGAACUCAGAGUGGAAAAAAACAUAUUGAUGUAAUCUCUUGUGAUUCUGAGAUAGACUGUUCAUGUGCAAGUUAAUUUGUUAAUCUAGGUUGUUUUUUUGUUUGUUUGUUUUUGUUUUUUCUGUGGAAAUGUUUUCAGGAUAUGAAAAUUUCAUGUUUUGUUUUGUUUUCAAAAUUAACAUUUGGAAUUUAAUUAAAAUAAAACAGAAA